rnacentral:rRNA from 1 species
ACAGAGGGGGCAAGCGUUGCUCGGAAUUACUGGGCGUAAAGGGCGCGUAGGCGGAAUGGCAAGUCGGUCGUGAAAUCCUUCGGCUCAACCGAAGAACGUCGAUCGAAACUGCCGUUCUUGAGGAUUGCAGAGGAGACUGGAAUUCCCGGUGUAGCGGUGAAAUGUGUAGAGAUCGGGAGGAACACCGGUGGCGAAGGCGGGUCUCUGGGCCGUAACUGACGCUGAGGAGCGAAAGCAUGGGGAGCGAACAGGA